UACGUAGGGAGCAAGCGUUGUCCGGAAUCAUUGGGCGUAAAGCGCGCGUAGGUGGCCACAUAAGUCCGUUGUGAAAGUCAAAGGCUCAACCUUUGAAAGCCGAUGGAUACUGUGUGGCUAGAGUACGGAAGAGGCGAGUGGAAUUCCUGGUGUAGCGGUGGAAUGCGCAGAUAUCAGGAAGAACACCUAUGGCGAAGGCAGCUCUCUGGGACGGUACUGACGCUGAGACGCGAAAGCGUGGGGAGCGAACAGG
rnacentral:rRNA from 1 species